CUUAGAAGCAGCCAUUCAUUCAAAGAGUGCGUAAUAGCUCACUGGUCGAGUGAUUGUGCGCCGAAAAUGUAACGGGGCUAAACUUGACACCGAAGUCUAGGCAGAAGGAAACUUCUGGGUAGGGGAGCAACGUGUACGGGCAGAAGCAGAAGCGGAAGCGACUGUGGACUGUACAGGAGAGAGAAUGCCGGCAUGAGUAGCGAGAGCAAAGUGAGAAUCUUUGCCGUCGAAAGCCUAAGGUUUCCUGAGGAAGGCUCGUCCUCUCAGGGUAAGUCGGGACCUAAGCCGAGGACAAUAGUCGUAGGCGAUGGACAAUCGGUUAAUAUUCCGAUACCGCCGAGCAACCGGAUGCAGUGACACAGAAGGAUAGGCAGAGCGUGGCGAUGGUAGACCACGUCCAAGCAGUGAGGCUGUUGUGUAGUGAAGUACGCACAACGGAAGGCUGGGCUGUGAUGGGGAACGAUUACGAUCGGUAAGCUGCUGAAUUCACGCUGGCGAGAAAAGCUGCUACGAAGCGAAGGCGCCCGUACCGCAAACCGACACAGGUAGGCGAGGAGAGAAUCCUAAGACGAGCGGGAGAACCCUUGUUAAGGAACUCGGCAAAAUGACUCCGUAACUUAGGGAGAAGGAGUGCCCAGGAAUGGGCCGCAGAGAAUAGACCCAAGCGACUGUUUACCAAAAACACAGGUCUGUGCGAAGUAGAGAUACGACGUAUACGGGCUGACACCUGCCCAGUGCCGGAAGGUUAAGGGGAAAUGUUAGGGCAACCGAAGCAUGGAACUUAAGCCCCGGUGAACGGCGGCCGUAACUAUAACGGUCCUAAGGUAGCGAAAUUCCUUGUCGGGUAAGUUCCGACCCGCACGAAUGGCGUAACGACUUGGGCACUGUCUCAACAAGGGACCCGGCGAAAUUGUAGUAUGUGUGAAGAUGCACAUUACCCGCGAUAGGACGGAAAGACCCCGUAGAGCUUUACUGUAGUUUAACAUUGGAUUCCGGUAACAUAUGCACAGGAUAGGUGGGAGGCGGAGAAGCAGUGAUUUCGGUUGCUGCAGAGCCGACGUUGGGAUACCACUCUUGUGUUACUGGGGUUCUAACCUGUGGCCGUGAUCCGGCACAGGAACAGUGUUAGAUGGGCAGUUUGACUGGGGCGGUCGCCUCCAAAAGAGUAACGGAGGCGUCCAAAGGUUCCCUCAGAAUGGUUGGAAACCAUUCGAAGAGUACAAAGGCAGAAGGGAGCCUGACUGCGAGACCGACAGGUCGAGCAGGGACGAAAGUCGGGCUUAGUGAUCCGGCGGUAUAGAGUGGAAUUGCCGUCGCUCAACGGAUAAAAGCUACCUCGGGGAUAACAGGCUUAUCUCCCCCAAGAGUCCACAUCGACGGGGAGGUUUGGCACCUCGAUGUCGGCUCGUCGCAUCCUGGGGCUGAAGCAGGUCCCAAGGGUUUGGCUGUUCGCCAAUUAAAGCGGCACGCGAGCUGGGUUCAGAACGUCGUGAGACAGUUCGGUCCCUAUCCAUCGUGGGCGCAGGAGAUUUGAGAAGAGCUGUCCUCAGUACGAGAGGACCGGGAUGGACGCACCAAGGGUGUAUCAGUUGUCACGCCAGUGGCACAGCUGGGUAGCCAAGUGCGGAUCGGAUAAACGCUGAAGGCAUCUAAGCGUGAAGCCGACUUCAAGAUAAGAUCUCCCAUCCGCAAGGAGUAAGGCCCCAUGUAGACCACAUGGUUGA
rnacentral:rRNA from 1 species